rnacentral:rRNA from 1 species
UGGGGACUGGAAUGAAUGGGCUAAUUAGGAAUAGACUUUUUUAUUAGUAAUAACUUAAUUUUAUUAUCAAGUUAAAAGGCUUGGUUAAUGUAGAGAGACAAGAAGACCCUAAGAUUUUUACAGGGUAGUUGUUUAUUGGCUUGUGUGGCAGUAAAGAGGGUGAGUGAUUAUUUUGUUUAGCUGGGGCGGUUGGAAUAUUGUCUAUUUUGUAAUUUACUUUAAUGAUAGUAUUGUGUAUAUUAUUAUCCUUGUUGGAAGACAUGAUAAAUUACCUUAGGGAUAACAGCAUAAUCUUUUCUGAGAGACCGUAUUGACGAAGAGGUUUGUGACCUCGAUGUUGGAUUUGAAUAACUUUUAGGGGCAGCACUUGUAAAAGUUGGUCUGUUCGACCAUUAAAUCUCAACAUGAUUUGA